rnacentral:rRNA from 1 species
UGCCAGACUCCUACGGGAGGCAGCAGUGAGGAAUAUUGGUCAAUGGGCGAGAGCCUGAACCAGCCAAGUCGCGUGAGGGAGGACGGCCCUACGGGUUGUAAACCUCUUUUGCCGGGGGACAAACGGCGGCACGCGUGCCGUCCUGAGGGUACCCGGAGAAAAAGCAUCGGCUAACUCCGUGCCAGCAGCCGCGGUAAUACGGAGGAUGCGAGCGUUAUCCGGAUUUAUUGGGUUUAAAGGGUGCGCAGGCGGAUUUUUAAGUCAGCGGUCAAAUCGUGGGGCUCAACCCCAUCCAGCCGUUGAAACUGGCGGCCUCGAGUGGGCGAGAAGUAUGCGGAAUGCGUGGUGUAGCGGUGAAAUGCAUAGAUAUCACGCAGAACUCCGAUUGCGAAGGCAGCAUACCGGCGCGCAACUGACGCUCAUGCACGAAAGCGUGGGUAUCGAACAGGAUUAGAUACCCGCGUA